rnacentral:rRNA from 1 species
UACGGAAGGGGCAAGCGUUGUUCGGAAUCAUUGGGCGUAAAGGGCGCGUAGGUGGUCUUGUAUGUCUACCGUGAAAGCAUACAGCUCAACUGUGUUCCGUCGGUAGAAACUGCAGGACUUGAGGCUGGGAGGGGCUGGUGGAAUUCCCUGUGUAGCGGUGAAAUGCGUAGAGAUGGGGGAGAACACUCGUGGCGAAGGCGGCCAGCUAGACCAGUUCUGACACUGAGGCGCGAUAGCGUGGGGAGCAAACAGG